rnacentral:rRNA from 1 species
AGUGAACGCUGGCGGUAGGCCUAACACAUGCAAGUCGAACGGCAGCACAGUAAGAGCUUGCUCUUACGGGUGGCGAGUGGCGGACGGGUGAGGAAUACAUCGGAAUCUACUUUUUCGUGGGGGAUAACGUAGGGAAACUUACGCUAAUACCGCAUACGACCUACGGGUGACAGCAGGGGAUCUUCGGACCUUGCGCGAUUGAAUGAGGCGAUGUCGGAUUAGCUAGUUGGCGCGGUAAAGGCCCACCAAGGCGACGAUCCGUAGCUGGUCUGAGAGGAUGAUCAGCCACACUGGAACAGAGACACGGCCCAGACUCCUACAGGAGGCAGCAGUGGGGAAUAUUGGACAAUGGGCGCAAGCCUGAUCCAGCCAUACCGCGUGGGUGAAGAAGGCCUUCGGGUUGUAAAGCCCUUUUGUUGGGAAAGAAAAGCAGCAGGUUAAUACCCCGCUGUUCUGACGGUACCCAAAGAAGAAGCACCGGCUAACUUCGUG